CACUGGCUGUGGCAUCAGAGCAGCCCAGGUACCGGUGGAAGACAUCCUGGUGGGGAUAUACACCACUUUGAUAAAAGUGCAAAAAGAUGUGAACUCUACAAAGGGUUUGUAGAUUUCACUGAUUCAGACCACCUGAAGCUCCUCAAGUACUGCAGCACCAGAUGGCUGAGUCUGCUAACCUGCAUCCAGAGUGUUGAACCAGUGGGAUGCACUGCAGGACUACUUUAACAGUCAUGAGGUGGAGAGGAGUGCCAAAGUGCGCGAUCUAGCAAGCCACGUGCAUGAUCCAAUCGUGAAGGCUUACUUCAUGUUCCUGAGCGCUGCCCUUAAACCUUUAUAUGAAUUUAAUACUGUCUUCCAGUCGGAGGGAGUGCAGAUUCACAGACUUGAAGAGGAGAUGUGCAGGCUGAUCAAGAGGAUCCUGGUGUUCCUCAUACCAGCCAGGGCCAUCAUGGGUGUACCUCUCAAGGAGGUGGAGUAUGGAGAAGGACAUCAGUUGGCUGACGAAGGGCUCUUUAUAGGAGCAGAAACAAAGGCAUUCAUGGCAAGGACAGCUCCCUGUGUCAGCUGAGAAGAAAAUCUUUCAUGUUUUUUGUUUACUCUUAUGCUGUUGUGGAUCUGUGAGAAGAUUCUAUGAAGCAGUGCUUCAGAAGAUGUUCUCCUCCUUUCCUCUUGACCAUCCACUCCUGAAGGACAUGAAAGUGCUGGACCCUGCUGCUCGCCUUGACAUUACUCCAAGGACAGUGGCAAGGCUAGGGGCCCUUUUCCCUCAGUUGAUCUUGAGUGAGGAUAGGCUGAGAGAGGAACUCAUUGACUACCAGGUGACAGAUAGCAAGCACCUCCCACAAGAAGACAAAACUGACAGAU